GCUUCCUUACUUGUUUAUCCUGUGUUCCAUUUCUCCCAGCUGAAGCCUGUGCAGGAGGAUGCGGGACCGGCUUGCACAGUGCACUGGAUCCUGCGUUCUUGUUGACGUUUACAGGGUCUGCGGUACCUCGUCGAUUGGGAGCUGUCCAGCUUAUUCUGGACAAGGAUCUGCUCCAGGACUUGUGGUCCCUCGGGCGGCGCCAUUUCCCGGCUUCCCAACCAGGUGCCACCAAAAGGACUGUUUGUUUGUAUUUAACAGUUAUUCUCAUUAGCAUUGGAAUGUUACAUGUUGCUCUCACUUCAUACUGGUGGUUUGUUGUAAUGUUUUUAAUGGUCAGCUACACCUGGGGCCCGUUUCAAGAAGGAGGUUUAACAAACUUAAACUCUGAGUUAAUUUACUCUGAGUUUGCAAACCUGGAGUUUUCGGUUCCAAAACAACUGAAAAGAGUUGAUUUAAGCAACUCUGAGUUGUCUGACUCAGAGUUAAGCGAGUGCACCGCGACGAUACAAAGCCCUGAUCAAUGGAGUGAAGAUACUACGAGUCACCAUGGCAACAGGACAACAAAAGACGUCCGGAAAUGGAUAUGAUACCUCAAGCAAAUAGCAACUACGAGUCUAUAUUCCGUAGAAAAAGCAACACGGCUGCAGCGGCGAAAGAGAUGAAAUUAGCUUGGAAGAAAAUAGCUGCUCGAGUCAAUGCGUAAGUUUACAUUUUAAUCAUACAGUGUUCAGCGUAACUAAAUACUAAAUAAUUUUAGUAUUGUUGUUAUAUUUCACUCGUAAAGUAAGGACUUGUAAAGUAAAUUUUCACUCAUCUAAGGAGUUACUUCAGUAAUUGCAUAAAAUACUGAUGUUUGUAUGAAUUAAAAGUGCAGUGUUAUGUCUAUGCAUUUUUAAAAUUCCUGUUGUGGUUGAUGUGGGAUUUGUAAAGUAAUGAUAAUUCAAUAAUCCAAUACGUUUUAUGGAGAGCAAUUAUUACAUUAAUCUAAUUAGGUUUUAAAGUUACCCAAAACACGUAAUAAUAAAUAAAUUUAAUUUCAGUGUUUACGUAGGCGCAAUCCUGCAGGCAUAAAAGAACGUGGCUAAGAAUUAAAUAUGAAAAAACAUAAAUCAAAAAGGUAUAAGGCACCAUCAUAUCAUGGGUGUAGACUACCUGACUACUUCCUGACAACAUUAGACAUAUUAAAUAACUAAAUAGCAUGCAGAGUAUAGCAGUGCAGCAGCAUUGUCAACAUGGCUGUAAUGUUUUCACACAGUUAAAUCAUUUGACUUCUACUCAGCCAACAGAAGGAAGGCAGAGGCUAGAACAACUGGUGGAGGACCUGCACCACCACCAUUGAUGCAUGCAGAGGAGAAGGCCCUUGGCAUGAACACUGGAAAGCAGAGGCUGAAGGAAUUCCUGGAGGGAGUUCAUCAGAACCAGUCACUCCCCAGGAUACAAGUGCAUUUGUAAAAUAUUCUGAUGGUAAUAUAUGAAUCCUCCUGUCACAACAGAAGCCCAGGAUGUUAGUGUGAAAGAACAGCAGGAGGAGGUCAGUCACAUUCUGCUGCACAGAUGCACACAGUUCAGGUAUGUUCAGUAAACACCAGAGUUCAAUUCUGUAAGAGUAAUGAGGAACUAUGUCUUGUAACUAUAAAUCUUCUGUAUUUUAAGUUACCGGUUACAGAGUUGUAUAAACUAAAUCUCAAGGAAAUAUCACACUUGUACCACAAGAUUGAAAAGACAGAUCUAGAAAUUGAAAUUCCCAAACACAAGCUGGAGAGUGUAUAGUUAAAGGUGAAUUGUAUGAAUUAUUAGAGGAAUCAUAAAAUCUAACAAUUGCCUUUGUAUUUGUAGGAAAUGAAGAAAACCAAAUAAAUUAUAAUUUGCAUUUAUUCAGUUUCUUUUAUUGGUGGUGGUGGUGAUGGUUUAGUAAAACAUCACGCCAAAUCACAUCUCUGACUGUCCAUCCACUCUGCAGAUUACUGUGAUGGAAUGAGUCUCCUCAGGGUCUUGUAUUUUUAGGGCAGGGUGUUAUUCCCCUCUAAUAAUUGCAAUAAUGUGGAGAACAACACAUGUCCCAAUAAUGUCACAGGCCUCUGAGGUGUUUCCCUGAGGUGAUGUAGGCACUGAAGACGUGCUUUCAACAGGCCUAUGGUCAUUUCCACCCGGGCUCUUGUUCUGCAGUGACACGUUAAAGCGCUGCUGGGGGCCUGCUUCAGGUUCUGGGUGAGAGGGUCAGUAGUGUGGGCCUUCAUGGGUAACCCCUAUCUCCAGCAGAAAGCUAUCAAUCUAUCCUAGAAGAAAGUUCACAUUACUUUAGUGCUGCAUAGAAGUGUUCCUGUGAGUGUGAGUGCAUGCAUUGAAAUAAAUGUAUAGGACAUACAUGUACUUACCACAGUGCAGCCUGUUACUUAGGGUUGACUCACAAUAUAUUCAUGAGUUCACGUUUAUGAUAUGUGCAGCAUCACAUAUGAUCUUGGUGAUGUAAACAAUGUAAUGUCAGUUACAGUGACCAUUAGAAAGAGUAGUCAGUGUACCUGCACAUUUAUCAACAAACAAAUUAAUUACCACAUACCUGCAAUCCUGUGAACCUCCUCUUAAUGGCUUUAGGAGGCUGUGUCAAGGAAAGCGCUUGAGGUCGAACUAUUCUACAUACAGUGGCUUUACUAAUGUGCUCAGCAUCUCCAAUGUUAUAAAGAAAACUACCGUUUGCAAAAAAAAAAAAACGCAACACAAAGAAUCUGUUCGGAUGUAAAAGCGCGGCCACGAUGGGUGAUGUGUUUGACGUAUGGGUGAAUAAGAUUAUUAAUAUAUGUAUGGAGUCUCGAUAAAAACGGUACCGCCAAAAUAAAUAUGCACUGCGAUAUGACAGAAAAUUAACUUGUGGCGUUAAAAUCCUCUUGUGGCGUAAAUUCAAUGCUGUGUGAAUUAAUACAGCGUCCUCAUCUACAGGAUCCUCUAGAAACGGACAUUUUGGUCUCUGCGCGAAGGAAACAGGUGAAAUCUAUGAAUGUACUGAAAGAUCAAACGAGGUAUUUAAACACUGUUCACUUUAAAAAGGGGCGGAGACCGAAGGAAACUCUGGGUUUCCCGAAUAAAACCUGCUCGCGACCAGGUUAGGUUCACAGGGUAAGUUGCCAUAGUAACUGACUGAGUUUCGAUUACCUUGCUUCUUGAAACGGGCUUAAACUUACCCCGCUUUACGGGUUUAAGUAACCCCGAUUUCUGAAACCGAAAACUCUGAGUUUUCCUCAUUUCGGGGUUAACAAACUCAGAGUUUCCACAAAACCACCUUCUUGAAACGGGCCCCUGGUAGUUACAGGUAGGAAUUGUUUUGUAACCAGUCCUGGUUACAUGUGCCAGUAGAAGUUGUCUUUGUCACAUAUUUGCAUAUCAGAUUGAUUUGUUCAACUGUUACUCACUGUAUAGACCACAGAAGGCAUUGUGUUAAUACAAAGUGUUCUCUGUCAAUAUUGGAGUAGUAGUUGACUGUGCUUUGAUUGUAACUCUGCCAUGAUCAUGUAGCUUGCUAUAUUGGGGUUUUUCAGGACCAAGUAGUUUUGUUACUGGACGUAGGCUCAGUUUUCCCUGCCUUGCAGCGACUUUGUUUAGGUGUCUGUAUUUAUUUUUUUCUGGCGGUAUGCAGCGCCUUCCUUGUGACAAUAAAACCAUUUGUUUGAACAUCUUCUCCCCCCCUAACUUGUGCAUCAGACAAAUUAAGAUUGAAUCGUUCAGUUUGUUCUUAACUCAAGCUUAUUUGCCCAAAUAUUGAACUUGAGGUUCUUUUUGCAACAGUCCUGGUUUCAGGCAGUGGCUGCUUUAUGAGAAGGACAAUGCAGAACACAGUAGCAACCAGUGCCGUGAGACUGAAAUAAUAAAACAUUAAUAGCGGCUUUAGGAGCCAGCUAGUAAAACAGAAUGCAUCCAUACACGGGCAUGUAAACACAAACAGUCACAUAUGCAUGAGUACUCAAACAGAAACACACAGGGAGCUCAGGGCUGUGCAGCAGAUGAAAUAACACUAACUCGAAGAGACAGCUUCUUUUGCCUGUGAGUCACAAUAAAUGUACUAAUAUCUGCCUCCCCCUCUACUUUUCUGCCUCAUUGUGUGUUUUAGAAAAUAUGCUACAAUAUGAAC